GAAUUUCCGCGGGGGCGUCAAAGCUUACCAAAGAAUAUCAAACUCCGAAUGCCAUUAAGAUGAUGAACGGGAGUCAGACUGUACGAGAUAAGUUGGACAGUCAAAAGGGAAAGAGCCCAGACCACCAGCUAAGGUCCCAAAGUGUGUGUUAAGUGGAAAAGGAUGUGGGGAUUCAAAGACAACUAGGAUGUUGGCUCAGAAGCAGCCAUUCAUUCAAAGAGUGCGUAACAGCUCACUAGUCGAGAGUCCCUGCGCCGAAAAUGUCCGGGGCUGAAACACAACACCGAAGCUGUGGAAUCAUACCUAGUAUGAUUGGUAGAGGAGCAUUCUUAAGACCGACGAAGCUGUACCGAUAAGGAGCAGUGGAGGGAUAAGAAGAGAGAAUGCCGGAAUGAGUAGCGAGAGGAAGGUGAGAAUCCUUCCGGCCGAAUAUCCAAGGAUUCCAGGGUAAAGCUGAUCUGCCCUGGGUAAGUCGGGACCUAAGGAGAGGCCGAGAGGCGUAUCCGAUGGACAACAGGUUUAGAUUCCUGUACCACAUAUGGUCAGAACUGUGGGGACGCAGAAGGAAAGCAUGAGCCAGGAAUGGAAAGACUGGUACAAGCAGAGGGGAUGGUGUGCUGGCAAAUCCGCACACGAAAGUCCUUGCUGUGAUGUGGAGCGAACCAAAGUAGUGAAGCAUGCGGACCGGCUGCCGAGAAAAGCCGCUAUUGUGCCAUAUGUGCCCGUACCGUAAACCGACACAGGUGGAUGAGGAGAGAAUCCUAAGGCCGACGGAAGAAGUAUUGUUAAGGAACUCGGCAAAAUGACCCCGUAACUUCGGGAGAAGGGGUGCCUGAGAAAUCAGGCCGCAGAGAAUAGGCUCAAGCAACUGUUUAGCAAAAACACAGGUCUAUGCAAAACCGAAAGGUGAAGUAUAUGGGCUGACGCCUGCCCGGUGCUGGAAGGUUAAGAGGAGAGGUUAGCGCAAGCGAAGCUUUGAAUUUAAGCCCCAGUAAACGGCGGCCGUAACUAUAACGGUCCUAAGGUAGCGAAAUUCCUUGUCGGGU
rnacentral:rRNA from 1 species